UACGGAGGGUGCGAGCGUUGUCCGGAAUCACUGGGCGUAAAGGGCGCGUAGGCGGCGCGGAAAGUCGUCGGUGAAAGCUCGGGGCUCAACCCUGAGUCUGCCGGUGAUACUCCCGCGCUCGAGCUCACUAGAGGCAGAUGGAAUUCCGGGUGUAGCGGUGGAAUGCGUAGAGAUCCGGAAGAACACCGGUGGCGAAGGCGGUCUGCUGGGGUGAGGCUGACGCUGAUGCGCGACAGCGUGGGGAGCGAACAGG
rnacentral:rRNA from 1 species